AGAAUCAGUCACAGGACAUGCACACACAGAGUAGGCGGUCACUAUUGAACCUAGUGGAUUAUACAACCGUAGCAAAUACAAAAGUAUGCAACAGCAGUAUUUAAGUCAUUAAAAUGAUAACGUGAAAUUAUCCAGUAAUACACGGUGUAUGAUUCUGUGUAACACGAACUUUCAGUUUAGAUAUCUUAAAUAUAUUUUGAUGGUAAAACUUUUGUACUAUAAUCACUUUUACUUAUAUAAAGGGUCUUCACAAUGACUACUUCACCUGCAUUCUUACUAACGGCCAGCAGGGGGCAACUCUUGUGGUUGCAAAAGGUUCCAGUUGUAGUCAGCAUCUUUCAUGCUAACUCCAGGUCAGCGCAACAAUCUCCUAGCCACCAAAGCAAUAACAAAGAGGCUUUUGUGCACAGCAUCCUCUUUGCGACUGAUUUCACCUACUGUAGCAACAGCCAAGCGACCUCUGGGAACUACUCACCAACCACUCUGGGAAUACACAUUUUUCCUUGCAAACAGUGGCUAUAUCAUAUCCAACAUCAUCCGAGAUAAUACUGGUAUACAUUUUUUUACUGAUAUCACACACUCACUUCCUAUUUACAGAUAGUAUUGAAUAAAAUAUUGACUCCAUUUAGUAAGUUGACUUUUUCAGAAUAUACUAAUUGCUCAACACAAUCACAAGGCUUUAGCCAACGAGCAUGUGGUUCACAGAGAGAGCCACUUCUUAUUAGUGUUGUGCAAUACUGCAGAUUUUAAGUAAAUACAGGGCCAGUAUCGCUAAAUGGUAAAUGGUAAAUGGACUGGUUCUUAUAUAGCGCUUUUCUACUCUGUCUGAGCACUCAAAGCACUUUAUAUCGCUGUUACCAAUACCAAUACUUUUAACUUAUAACAUCAACUUAUGUAGAGAAGAGUGGUGUGCCAUGACUUAUGAGAUGAAUCACUAUCAAUUUGCAAAUUCUGAAUACAUUUUAUUACCACCCACUAGUACCUACUGGGCUCAGCAUGGCUCAACUCAAUUCGGUUUUUAGGUGGUACUCAGUUGUAACUGAAAACAGCUGAAACUGAGUAGAGUUGAGUCAAAUUGGUACUAGUGGAAAAGAGGCACAAGUGUGCCUGUCUCAAAAAGACUUCUGUUGUUUAAAUAGGUUAUAGAGAAUAAAUAAAAUAGACAUAAAAGUCUGUUUUAUCCUUUCCCCCCAAAAAUCAUUUAAUACAGUUCAAUGGACUACAUAAUGAAUUUAGAUCAUAGAAACUAAGAAUCAAUUCUAUCGCACUAGUAUCGAUACCAAAACCGGUGCUGGUAUCGAUACUACCAAUAUCGACACCCCCCCACCACCUCUCAAUUGUCACCUCUGGUUCCAAAAGACCAACAUGUCAACAGUAAUAAUGCUCAACUCAUUGUAACUACAUUAAUCUUUGAGUCUGUCUAAUUUAAACUCUCAUGCAGUGCCACUUUUCAUGUAACACAUCUGAUGUAGAAAAUAGGACCCCCCACCCACCUACCCACUUCCUAGUCUCCAAAUGUGGCACCCCAUUUUUUUUAAUCGUAUAAACACCCCUGUAUGGUUUUAUGUGACUUUAAAUCUGCAUAAAAUCUGCUCCUCCCGCUUGUUAUAAGCAUGCAGAGGUGUAACAAAAGAUGGGUAAGGUCAGCAUAUGGUUGGUUAGGCUGACUCAAAAAAAUAUUUUAGUGAGGAUGUCAGGGCCCUGAGGAGGUAUGCGGGGGCCUAAAAACCUUAUGAGGCUCUGAAAAGUUCCCAGCUCCCGACUUCAACAUCGUCGAUAAAGCGGCAGUUUGCGGUCCAAAGCGCUCUCGCCGUCCCUGUCACCGUUUAUAAAGACAGACUGACGUGUUUCGCUAACGCAGCAAGAAAUCUAACGGCUCGCUGGCUCCAAUGAUGACGUAAUGGCUGAUAAACUGUCAGAGCAGUUAUAAAGUAAAGAUUUAGCUUAAUCUAUUAAGAACUACAAAAAAACAUGCGAGAGGACAUACUCAAAAUGACUGCCGGCCGAUGAGUUUCGCAGCAGACUAAAGGAAUUUGCCCCAAAACGGAUCAACAAAAACAUCAACCACUUACCCCUAAAAGGCAAACCUUGAGCUCCCUUAUAGCCAUGGUAAGUUUUGGAAAGUUUUUAAAUCAUCAUUUGUCAGUGUACACUCAAUGUAUUUGUUUCUUCAUGCUUGAAACUCUAUUAUUUUCCCCUCUUCUUGGAUAAAA